CCUUUUCCGUUUCACGUAAACUGUGUUUACCUUUAACUGUAGCGUUUGCUCUUGCAUGUUGAUAUCGUUCGCCAGUCCUACGGCUGUAAAUUCAUCCCAUUUCUCAAGAUUUCGAGAACAUGGUUGACGUUCUCGGCUGCCUGUUGGUUGGUACUCGUUGGCCUCUCGAUCGCCUUAUCUCGAUUCUUGGGGAAAUAAGAGUUGUUUUGCAUAGUCGAGAGAAAAAAAAAAAUGGAUCGACGUUUACGGUGUUUGGUGCUAUAAUUUUUGGUGCUAUACAAACUACAAAGUUCAUGUUAGGAACUAAUAUUCCGCGAUCGAUUAUCUCAGCUCGAGGGUUGAUUCGAAUAAAUCCUCGCGGUCCAUCCUCGUAAGUUAGCGACAGUCCCAGCUAGUUUUGCGCGAUGCUUGAAAUGAAUUUCGAAAUAACAAAUCUCUGUGGAAGCGUACGCAGAACGACUAGAGGUGUGUCUGGUAUGAUAUCGAAUAAAAUUGACUCGUGAUAAACACGUUGAUCGCAGCAGCGCUUACCGUUGAAAGCUUCUUUUAUAUGAAAAUUCAGCUCAGGGCGUUCCCAUCGGCGCCAAGUUCCGUCGUACAGGUGCGAGCUUACAGGUGUUGGUGCUCCUGCUUGAUAAGAAGCAUACCCGUGACGUCAGAUCAGCGCAGGUAGAGUAUAUGAGUCGGCCCGGAGAGACAUCCACGUCACUCGUUCUUGAACCUCUUCGUUCGUUUGUUCUGCAAAAGUUGUUCGUCAGUCUUCAUUUCUUCUCUCUUCUUUCUCUUUUUUCUCAUCCGUUCCACCCACCCGCUCGCUCUCGUUCAUUAACUCUCUCGCUCAUUUCUUUUCUCUUUCUUUCCUCUUAUUCAUCGGUUCGUCGUACGUUUCUCGUUUUCGGCUAUUUUUCUACUUCUUGUUCAUCGACGAGGACAUGCAUCGAGGACGAGGAGAGACCAUCGAGCCGGAAUGCACGUUCAUCCGGAUGUCUAUCGCGACCAGGCGUAUCGUGGUACCGGGGAUACCGAUCAGGCUCGAAUGGUCGAACAAGGACGUCGGGAUAAAGAAGAAGAAGGAGGAGAAGUGUUAACGACUCUUGGCACGAGCUAACGCACGGAGGUUGUGUUUACCGCGCAAUCAGAUGGCGGCGCUAAAGAGGAAGGUGGCUGCUCGCACCUUCCUGAUAACAAGUGAAGCUGCUACGCUCCGCUACAGCGACAAUUUCUGCCUCCCACUUCGCUAUUUUCAUUUGGUUUACCGAUCUGCUUGGUUCGUUUCUAAAUCCCGUACGACUCGUUAAACAGAAUUUCAAUCUUUCGAUCGAAAAUAAUAUUUCGGAAACGAAUUAAUAUUCAAACGUUAUACACACAUAUGCGAACAUUGAUACGAAGCAACGGUUACAAGAAGUGUAACGUGCAGAUUCUUUUUGGAGCCUGGAUACAAAAUACGGAGAAUCGAUUAUUUUUUACAAAUUGUCACGAAGGAAUUAAAGGAAGAGUAAGAAGAGAAAGCGUGUGCUAUGAAGAGAGCUAUCCAUCGACAGUAUGGUGAUAAUAGACACUGUCAUGGAGUUGCUCUCUUUGUGGACGCCGCUAAAUUCAACGUUUCCCCUGACUUCGUUUAUAUAAUGCUCUCCUGUAACCAUUCGAUUUCGAAACAUAGAGGUUCGGUUGCUAUUAUGAAAUUUCAAUCAGUUUAAAACACAACGAUGUAGACAAUAAAAUAUUUUUAACACUCGUUUACUACUCUACUUUUGCGUUUUUCCUCCUUCGUCAAUUUUAAUAACCAGAGCUUAUAACUGAAAACGAACUUGGCUCUUCCGAAGUAUUCGUAAACCAAGGAUCAGACAGUAAACGAAAGAUUUCAGACCC